CGGAAAGCCUGACGGAGCAAGACCGCGUGAGGGAGGAAGGCUCUUGGGUUGUAAACCUCUUUUCUCAGGGAAGAACACAAUGACGGUACCUGAGGAAUCAGCCUCGGCUAACUCCGUGCCAGCAGCCGCGGUAAUACGGAGGAGGCAAGCGUUAUCCGGAAUUAUUGGGCGUAAAGCGUCCGUAGGUGGUCAUGUAAGUCGGUCGUCAAAGCACAGGGCUUAACCCUGUAAUGGCGGUGGAAACUGCACGACUAGAGAGAGGUAGGGGUAGAGGGAAUUCCCAGUGUAGCGGUGAAAUGCGUAGAGAUUGGGAAGAACAUCGGUGGCGAAAGCGCUCUACUGGACCUGAUCUGACGCUGAUGGACGAAAGCUAGGGGAGCGAAUGGGAUUAGAUACCCCAGUAGUCCUAGCCGUAAACGAUGGAUACUAGAUGUUGUCUGUAUCGACCCAGACAGUGUCGUAGCUAACGCGUUAAGUAUCCCGCCUGGGGAGUACGCACGCAAGUGUG
rnacentral:rRNA from 1 species